AAGCCAGCAAUCUAAUUUAGCUUUAGCAAUUGAGCUUUUCAGCAUUCAUAAGCAUUUUCUGCAGGUAAUGCAUUUUCCAGAUACUUCUGAGAUGAGUUUUUA